CUGGGGAGCAGUCAGCUGCGUCCCAGUAGCUGGCUGGGGAGGUGGGACAUGCUGGGGACACGGGAGGGCUUGGGGACAGGUUGGGGACGUGGUGGCACUUGUCCCAGCGCCUGGCACAGGAGGUGACACGGCAGCGGGGACGGGCAGAGGCAGCUGAGGAGGCACUGAGAGGACUGGCCCAGGCGGCUGCCAGGCUGGCCAGGGUGGUGACAGCCCGCGAGGCCGAGGUGACAGCAGCCACCAGCGCCAUGGUCACCCUCAGCGCCCGUCUGCGCCGCGCAGGACAGCGGCUCCGUGUCCUGAGGGGUCACUUCCUGUGAGGACAGGAUGGGGCACCCCCCCAGCAGAGAGGCGUUGGGGUCCCUCGUGAUGCAGCUACAGGCCCUGGGCGCCGCCAUCCUCGGGGACGAUGGGGACAGCAGGGACCCCCCCUGACCCCACUGUGGACCCGGCCAUCCAGGUGAGUCACCCCCCACCGCCCCAGCCAGUGGGAAGGGGACCAGUUUGGCCCAGUUUGGCACUGGUGUGACCCACGUGUCACUUUCCAGGGUAAUAUUUGGCAGG
rnacentral:lncRNA from 1 species